ACCCAAUGCUAUAUUAUCCAGGGUACGUCAGAGUGGCUUGCUCAUUAAGCACUUCACAACGCCCGCUGCGUUAAUAGUUCAAGCUCGGAAUAAAUCGAAUAACACUUAAAGGUUUUGUGACAAAGCUUUCGGAAUGUUCAAAUAUUCAGGAAAACUCACCUAUAUUGCGCUGUUCUCACUUUUUCUGACGGUGGUUGACUGUCGUCCGAAGAGAAAUGGCUUUCCUGUUGACAUCGCGGACCAAGGGCCCAAUUGCCCAUGUGAAGAUCUAGCGGGCGAGGUGUUGAGGUGUGAUGUAAACUGUACAGGCCAAUACUACAAGCUGAGCGAUCGUCAUAAAGAAUGUCUCGAGGAGUGCUCCAUGAUUUUCCUUCAAUGUUCAGCCCAAUGUCGACGAUAAUAGAACACCAUGUAUUUUUUUUCAGUUGUUAAAUGUUGUUACAAUAAACACGAUACAUAAAUUUGAAGCAAAGAUCUGCAUCCUUAUUAAACGCUUAAAGCUUAUGAAAGGUUAAUACUUGAGGUGAUUAGUAUGAAGUAUGACCAAUUAGUUACUAAAACGGUGACUGAAGUGCGCGAUCUUACUUGCAUCCGGUAAGGACUGCCAUCAACCUUUGAAACCCAUAUUGUACAUGAUCUCGAAGUCCUACAUCAAUAUUUAUAGCUCAGUUCGUGUACUGAAUCUGUAACGAUUUACCAUUCAAUACACAGAGGAUAUUUGUUGAUUUCAGUGAAAAAUCGUAUUUUAUUUCACGAGUGUCAUAGAAUAAUAUAUUUUUACGAGUGGCAAUUUUUUUUUCAGUUUCAAUUUUAUUUUUGGCAACAUUUCCUUGUUCAAAAGCUUAGUUUAGACCAAGGGGAAUUAACUAUAAUAUAUUUUAAAAGUAGUUCUUAAAAUUGUUUUUUUUUUCAUU